CACUGAGGGAAAAAUCCCGUUGCGAAAUCAAGCACGUAUGUUGUCAUUUUCGCAACGACCCGUUGUUAUAUUUUUCAACAACGGCUGUUGGUGAAUUGUGCACGAACGUGCUCAAAUUGACACCGAGACGUGGUCAACUUUCGGUACCAACAACAGCCGUGCUUAAUUUGUCCAUUUGUAAUAUUGGUAAUUGCAGCCGAUUACACACGAGUAAAAAAUGACAACGGUGGUGCAUGAUUCACACACGGUCGUUGUCAAUAUGACACCGGUCGUGUAUGAAUUAUGCACCACCACCUGCAUAAUGAUGCACCACCGUUGUUACUUUGUACACCGACGUGCAUGAAUCGUACACGAUCGUUGCCAUUUUAGCAACUACCGUGUAUGAAUCAUGCACCACCGUUGUCAUUUUUUUUACUCGUGUGCAAUCGGCUGCAUAUUUACCAUUUUUUCCGUGUUAUUGAAAGAGAAAGGACGCAUUGUGCAAAAAAUUUAUUGAAAAUGAAUAAUAAUUCGCAAGAUCCUCAAAAUAUCAUUGGUGAGUUGUUAGAAAUCGAUGGCAAUAUUGUUGUGGUUCGCGAUACAAACCAUUGCAGCAGUCAAGAUGCGGAAAACAAUGAGGACGAUUAUAUGUUAAGGGAGUUCUUAAAAGGAAUAAAUAUGGAGUCGCUUUUUGAACAAUUAAAAGGUAAGUAAAUAAAAAUGAAUUUUUCAGUUAAUCAGUGUAAUUAACAAAGAAUUUUCUUUUUUGUUCUUUUAGCAUCACAUGUAACAUUUCGCAGCUUGCAGUACUUGAAAAAAGAAGAUUUAAAGGAAGCAGUGCCACCAUUGGGACUGCGUGUUGAAUUCAGAGAAAAGCUCUUUGCUUGGAAAAAACGAAAGCUCGGGAUUGAUGACGAAACUAUGUCAGUUCCAUCUAAAAUAGGUGAAUGGUGGAAACGCAACGAGACACCUGCAAGUACUCCUGGUACUCCCGACACUACAGGUUCGAACUGCUCAAAAGCCAAAGGAAUUUUGUCAGAGGAUCUAACGGAAUUGUUAACACAUACCUCGAAGGGGAAACUAGCGCUUGAAUGUAGUAGCGUUAAUAAGAAAUUAAGUGACGAGCAAAGAGAUGAUAUAAUUAAUAUAAUUAUUGAAGAUAUUUUAACCAACAAUGUUACUCUUUACACUCAAGACUAUAUGCGCAUAUUGGAUGAAAUUUGUUCCGUUUUUCCUCUUGAAAACGAAAUGAGGGAUUAUUAUUACAUUUCAAGAAAAGGAAAGAACAACGCAAGCGGAAAACUUUAUGCCAAGUAUAGAAACAAGAAGUCCAAAAGAAUAAAGCUUUUGAUUUCCGAGCCUAGCACAAGCAAAGCAGCAACUCACACAUCUCCUAAUUUUUGUAACAAAGAUGUUCCCGAAAUUGAUGAAUCAGUUGAAAAUUCAUUGAAAGCUUCCUUACUAAGAGAAUGUAAUGAUUGGGGAUCGAUCUGCGAAAAAUGGAAAAGAUCUUUUAACAUACGGCAAAGAGAUAUAAAAAAUUUAAGUAGCCAUACAUUUCUCCUUGAAUGGACGAAGUUGUCCGAUGCAAGAGCUUCAGAAUUGGUAAGUAGCCAUGAGCUAUUUAUUUGUAUAUGGAUACUAAUGUUUCGUUUUAGGUCAACAUUGAUUUCGAUAUUAUGUAUCCACAGAAAGGCAAUCUUCUACUUUCUAAAUGGGACCAAUUUAAGAAAAAAAUUUACAAUUAUUAUGGGAAAAAUAUUCAUAACGAACAUUGCAAACAACUCUUCGCAAAUGUUUUGACGGCAAGCAGCAUAGAUGCUCAAGAUUAUAUAUACGCAAUACUGUUGAAUUCAGUUUUACCAUCACCUGCUAGGUUUAAAUGUGGAAACGGUAAAUUACGAAAAAAAGUAACAAUAGCUGAUUCGCAGGAAAGUUUCGUACUGCGACUACCGACAAUUAACGAUUAUAAAAGGCAAAUUGAUACAGUCACUGAAAAGUAUUACAAUGCUGGAUUAACUAUACAGCCAUUUAUAAUUGUGGAGGGUUUGUCCGAUUUCAAUAUAAAAGGUUUUUAUGUUUUUUUUAACCACAAUUUGUUAAAAUUUCAAUCGUUCCUCGAAUGUUUAGAUACAUGUUUUAAAAUUUUUCAUGCACUUUCUUUAAAAUAUCCAAAUGCCUGCCAAAUUCCAUGGAUUUUUAUCCAAAAAUAUUUUUAUGAAAUUAAUACUGUAUAUGAUAUAAAAUCAGUUAAUUUGACUUCACUUAUUAAUUUCUGCAACAAUAAUUAAAGUACAAUUCAAAAUGUAUAUUUGCUUUCGUUGCCGUAAGCAUUUUGAUAAGGCAAAUCUUUUAAUAGCUCAUUUGAAAACAGACCAUUUAAUGUCCACUAAAUUUUUAAAAGUACAAUGCGUUCAGGACAACUGUAAGCAAACAUUUACAAAAUUUACGUCAUUCAGAAUUCAUUUAGAAAAACUUCACAAGAAUCACACAAAAGCUCCACCAAUGGUUAAAGCCAUUAAUGUGCCAGUUGAAAUGUCAUCAUCAAAAGAAAAUGAUUAUACAAACAGUGAAACUGUUAUUAACAACAAUACAAUAGAAAAGGAUUUAAAUGUUUUGAAAAAGAAAACCUUAUAUCUGUCUUUACAAUUACAUGGUCAAAGCUAUAUGCCUAGAAAUCAUGUUAUAGAAAUACAACAUUCUGUUUCAAUUCUGCUUUCAUCCAUUUCAUGUACAAUUGAAAAAUAUAUAACUGAUCAUCCAAAUUAUGAAGACUUAAGGUACUUACUAAACUUUUGUAAAAAUCCUUUCGAAGAAACUAGAACGGAAUAUAGACUUUUAAAAAUUUUAAAAGAACUAAACUUUUAUGAUGAUCCAAAGGUUUAUGUAAUUAGCAAUCAAGUCUCGGAAAUUGUUAUCAGCGGAAAUCCCAGUUUAGGUCCAAAGUUAUCCAAUAUUUAUAUAAUGCCACUGAAAUUCAUGAUAAGUGCCCUUUUUAAAAUUCCAAAUCUCUUAGAUUUGACAUUA